CAGAACUCAAGGAAUGGAGCGAGAGCCCGCACAUCGCUGGUCUUGGGCUGGGAUGACCGCAGCUUCGUGGUCUCUUUUCAUUCAGUCGACAAAAUGGAGCAAUGGUACAAUGAGCUUCAUAGGAACAUUCAGAAUGAGAUUUUGGACUUCCAGAACACCCUCC